rnacentral:rRNA from 1 species
GUGGGGAAUAUUGGACAAUGGGGGGAACCCUGAUCCAGCCAUGCCGCGUGUGUGAAGAAGGCCUUUUGGUUGUAAAGCACUUUAAGCGAGGAGGAGGCUACCGAGAUUAAUACUCUUGGAUAGUGGACGUUACUCGCAGAAUAAGCACCGGCUAACUCUGUGCCAGCAGCCGCGGUAAUACAGAGGGUGCAAGCGUUAAUCGGAUUUACUGGGCGUACAGCGCGCGUAGGUGGCCAAUUAAGUCAGAUGUGAAAUACCAGAGCUUAACUUGGGAAUUGCAUUCGAUACUGGUUGGCUAGAGUAUGGGAGAGGAUGGGAGAAUUCCAGGUGUAGCGGUGAAAUGCGUAGAGAUCUGGAGGAAUACCGAUGGCGAAGGCGGCCAUCUGGCCUAAUACUGACACUGAGGUGCGAAAGCAUGGGGAGCAAACAGGAUUAGAAACCCGUGUAGUCC